rnacentral:lncRNA from 1 species
GCACUGUUGACAGAUAAGGGUGAAGAAGUGAUCCUAAAAAAGCAGCAUAUGCAUCUCUCUUGAAGAACUGCUUGUUUGUAACAGCACUUGGAACUUGCACCACUGAGCAUUCUGAUUCCGUUACACUGAUUUUACAGAGCUGUGAUUGCAUAGAUUUUGGUGGAGUUACAUUAGUGUAGGAAGGUGGAAACUCAGGUUUCCAGGGAAGCCUAGUUAUUGUCUGAACACACUGUGCAAGCAUUGUAAGGUUGCUAGAAUGUUUCACCUCUCCCCUAGGUCCUGGCCCUUCUGGUGUGUACUGCCUGUGUGAUGUGUUUCAUUGCAGCUGUUCAUAGGGUUUUUACACUUGCUACCCAGCUCAAAUGAUUCAAUGACUUCAUCAUUGUGAACUAUCAUAAAUUCUUCAUGAAUUCUUCGUCAGUUCUUCAUUAUGAAGAAUCAAGUAUGUGUUGUUUGAGAUAGGGCAUACAUACAGCCUGGGCCAUGCACUUGCUGACAUCUGGGCCAUGAAUGUUUGUCUGUACACCUGCUGCCUAACCUCCUGGAUGCCUGAUGGAUGAAUACUUCUAUAGCAAGAAUCCUUUCUUUAGUACAGGAAUGGUCAGAGGAUCAUCCCUGCAGACCUCUCUGAUUCACUCAAACUGUUUCUUCUGGCUGCACGUUUCCAUUUCCUGCAGAAGGAUUCAUAAAGGACACUGGACAUGGAAAGGCAAAUUCCUGGAAAGGAAGAACAACUUAAAGACUACAAGAAAGUUCA